GUUAUGCAGGUGGCGUGGGGGGCGGUAAUACGGAGGGUGCAAGGUUUAAGCGGAAGUAGUGGGGCUAAAGCGCACGCGGGCGGUUGGAUAAGUUGGAUGUGAAAGCACCGGGCUCAACCUGGGAAUUGCAUUUAAAACUGGCCAGCUAGAGUCUGGUAGAGGGGGGUAGAAUUCCAGGUGUAGCGGUGAAAUGCGUAGAGAUCUGGAGGAAUACCGGUGGCGAAGGCGGCCCCCUGGACAAAGACUGACGCUCAGGUGCGAAAGCGUGGGGAGCAAACAGGAUUAGAUACCCGUGUAGUC
rnacentral:rRNA from 1 species